UACGAAGGGGGCUAGCGUUGCUCGGAAUCACUGGGCGUAAAGCGCACGUAGGCGGAUCGUUAAGUCAGGGGUGAAAUCCUGGAGCUCAACUCCAGAACUGCCUUUGAUACUGGCGACCUUGAGUUCGGGAGAGGUGAGUGGAACUGCGAGUGUAGAGGUGAAAUUCGUAGAUAUUCGCAAGAACACCAGUGGCGAAGGCGGCUCACUGGCCCGAUACUGACGCUGAGGCACGAAAGCGUGGGGAGCAAACAGGG
rnacentral:rRNA from 1 species